GAGUUUGAUCGUGGCUCAGAUUGAACGCUGGCGGCAGGCCUAACACAUGCAAGUCGAGCGGAUGACGGGAGCUUGCUCCUUGAUUCAGCGGCGGACGGGUGAGUAAUGCCUGGGAAUCUGCCUGGUAGUGGGGGACAACGUUUCGAAAGGAACGCUAAUACCGCAUACGUCCUACGGGAGAAAGCAGGGGACCUUCGGGCCUUGCGCUAUCAGAUGAGCCUAGGUCAGAUUAGCUAGUUGGUGGGGUAAUGGCUCACCAAGGCGACGAUCCGUAACUGGUCUGAGAGGAUGAUCAGUCACACUGGAACUGAGACACGGUCCAGACUCCUACGGGGAGCAGCAGGUAGGGAAUAGUUGGACAAGUCGGGACGAAACGCC
rnacentral:rRNA from 1 species